AUAAUGGAUGAAGAUAAAUUAAGAUUGCCGUGGGUGAUGGAUUCUAAUGUACGUGAAGACGAUGUAGCACCAAAAGAUCCUGGUGCACAAAAAGUACAUUGUACAACGAACUAUGAUGAAAAGGAUUAUGAAGGUCAUCGAGCGCAUACCAUGUUUGUUGGUGUUCAUCUUCCAGGGGAAAAAACAAGGCAUUCACAUCGUCGACAUAAACAUCAUAACAAACCUGGUGGCGGUGGGCCAAAUGACAUUGGUGGUGAGGUCGGUGAGAAUACAACAACUACAGGUGACGAAGAUCAACGUCCUAGGAAAUAUCUUCAGAUGACACGCCGAGGACGUCUUAGUAUAACCGAUGAUGGCGAAAUAUUUACUCCACCAUCCCAACGAGUGCAAUUCAUACUAGGUGAAGAUAUCGAUGAUGGCACACAUGAAUCACAUCCACUAUUUUCCGAAAUGGAAGAAUUGGUUGGUGAUGGUGACGAAAUGGAAUGGAAGGAAACUGCACGAUGGAUUAAAUUUGAAGAAGAUGUGGAAGAGGGUGGCAAUCGAUGGUCCAAACCACAUGUGGCCACAUUGUCGUUGCACUCCUUAUUUGAAUUACGUAGUCUUAUUUUAAAUGGCACAGUAAUAUUAGAUAUGGAGGCAAAUUCUUUGGAACAAAUAUCCGAUAUUAUAUUGGAUAAUAUGAUAAAUGUUGGUAGCUUAAAUUAUGAAUUACGUGAUAAAGUACGUGAAGCAUUAUUACGACGGCAUCGUCAUUUAUAUGAACGUCGAAAAGACAAUGUUUCCAGAUUACCCAUAAUUCGAUCAUUAGCCGAAAUUGGAAGAAAUCAUUCAUCGUGUAGAAAUUAUUUGAGUUGUGGUAUGCAUGCAUUAUUAUGUUCAACAGAGUCAACAGAAAAUGUGAAAAAACGAUCCACGUCAAAUAUUUCCUUACAUCAAAUACGACAUAAUAAUUCAGACAAUCCUUCAGUACAAACUGCCCUAUUAUCAAAUGAUAUUAAAGGCAAUUAUUUAAGCGUGCCAGGUAAUGAAAAAUCUCCAGAAGGUAUUGCAACUAGCCCGAGUAAUUUAUCAAUGAAUCGUAAUGCAAGUGCAAACGAUUUAGGCCACUUUAAUAGUGAUUCAAAUCACAAAGGCAACACACACUUCAUGAGAAAAAUACCACAAGGCGCUGAAGCGUCAAAUAUAUUAGUGGGCGAAGUGGAUUUUCUCGAUAAAACGUUAUCAGCGUUUGUACGACUUAGCAACGCCGCCAUUAUGGGUGAUUUAACUGAGGUACCUGUACCAACGCGAUUUUUAUUUGUAUUACUUGGACCAACCAAUGGAGUUACAGAUUAUCAUGAAAUUGGUCGAGCUAUGGCCACAUUAAUGUCUGAUGAAGUAUUUCAUGAAGUUGCAUAUCGUGCCAGAAAUAGAAAUCAUUUAUUAGCUGGUGUAGAUGAAUUUUUAGACGCUGUAACAGUAUUACCCCCUGGUGAAUGGGAUCCAACAAUUCGAAUUGAACCACCUGCCGCUAUUCCAUCGCAAGAUGUACGAAAACGGCCGCCAGAGAAAGUUAAACAAGAUGAUUCGGAUUCAGAAGACGAGGAGAAAAUUAGACAGGAAUCUGGUUUAUCUCGAAGUGGUCGAUUAUUUGGUGGUCUAAUAAAUGAUUUCAAGCGUAAAGCACCUUGGUAUUGGUCAGAUUUUAAGGAUGCUUUAGCAGUUCAGUGUGUUGCUUCAUGGAUUUUUUUAUAUUUUGCGUGUCUAUCGCCAAUUAUAACUUUUGGCGGCUUACUAUCAGAAGCCACUGGUAAAAAUAUGGCCGCUAUGGAAUCGUUAGUUUCAGGAUUUGUUUGUGGCAUUGGAUAUGGAUUUUUUUCUGGUCAACCUUUGACAAUAUUAGGGUCUACCGGUCCAGUGCUUGUUUUUGAAACAAUUGUAUAUGAUUUUUGUACAGCAAAUGACUGGGAUUAUAUGUCCUUUCGAUUUUGGAUUGGAACCUGGAUUGCUGUUAUUUUAAUUAUAUUAGUCGCUAUUGAUGCUAGUGCUCUUGUUUGUUAUAUUACGAGAUUUACAGAAGAAAAUUUCGCUACGUUAAUUGCAUUUAUAUUUAUAUAUAAGGCUGUGGAAAAUGUCAUCUCGAUUGGAAAGAAAAAUCCAAUAAACACAACUGGUGGAGAUUUACCAGACUAUGGUUGUUUUUGCCUUUUAGAAAGUAAACAAAAUAUCAUAUGGACAGAUGAAGAAAAAUUAGCUUGCUUGGAAUCCAAUGGCACGAUCGAAGGAAGAUAUUGUCCAACACCUGAAUACGUACCUGAUGUAUUUUUAAUGUCAAUUUUAUUAUUUCUCGGCACAUUCCUUGUAUCUGUUCAAUUGAAAGAUUUUAAAAAUGCAUUAUUUUUUCCUUCGAAAGUCCGUCAAUUCAUUAGCGAUUUUGCUGUAAUAAUUGCCAUAUUGUCAAUGUCCACGAUGGAUUACUUUGUUGGUAUUUCCACACCAAAAUUAGAGGUACCCAGAGAAUUCAAACCAACAUUAGAAGGCCGUGGAUGGUUAAUUUAUCCAUUCAAUCGAAAUCCUAUUUGGUCACCAUUAGUUGCUGCAUUACCCGCCCUUUUGGGGACAAUUUUAAUAUUUAUGGAUCAACAAAUAACAGCCGUUAUUGUAAAUAGAAAAGAAAACAAAUUAAAAAAAGGAUGUGGAUAUCAUUUGGAUUUAUUUGUAUUAGCGAUUUUAAUUGAAAUUUGCUCAUUGAUGGGUCUACCAUGGUUUGUAGCGGCAACAGUAUUAUCAAUAAAUCAUGUGAAUUCGUUAAAAUUGGAAUCUGAAUGUGCAGCACCUGGCGAAAAACCACAAUUUUUAGGUGUACGAGAGCAACGUGUAACCCAUAUAUUAAUUUUCGUUACAAUUGGCCUAUCAGUUUUAUUAACGCCAAUGCUAAGUCAUAUACCAAUGCCUGUAUUAUUUGGAGUUUUUCUAUACAUGGGAGUUGCAUCAUUGAAAGGGUUACAAUUCUUCGAUAGAAUUUUAAUAAUGUUUAUGCCAAAUAAAUAUCAACCGGAUUAUAUGUUUUUAAGACAGGUUCCAAUACGCCGAGUUCAUUUAUUCACAAUCAUUCAAUUAGCUUGUUUAGCAUGUUUAUGGACGAUCAAAUCGUUUAGUUCUACAUCAAUACUGUUCCCAUUAAUGUUGGUUGUAAUGAUUGGAAUACGUAAAUUAUUGGACUUUAUAUUCGCACGACGUGAAUUAAAGAUAUUGGACGACAUAAUGCCAGAAACAUCUAAACGUGAUGAUGACAUGCGACAUCUUGAAAAUGGCGAGGAGAAACAAAUUGGAUUUGUACCAAGUGGUAAUAUUCAAAUUCCACUAGCAAAUGGAAAUAUCAUGAAAAUUCCUUUAACAUCAAUAAAUAUUACAGAAGAAGUAAAUAAAACUGGUAUUUGGAAACAAGUAAACGAAAAUAAUUCGUCAGUUGAAAAAUUAAAUAGCUCAAAAUCUAAAAAGACCUUAAGUAAAAAAGAAACAAGCGAUCGUUUAACGACAAUGAACGAAGAUGAUGAAAUCAAUGAACAACAAAAUCAAUCAACAACUCCACAUCCUGGAAUUAAGGUGGGAUCACCGAAAAUUGUGUGCACGCCAACAGAAUCAAACAAUUUGCCACUAAUUACCCAAUCACGAUAUUAGAAUAAAUAUAAUAAUAAUAAAAAGUACACUUACUAUAUACGAUAUAAUUCCAAGACCAUCCAAACAAUUCCUGCUAUUAUAUGUAUGUAAUUUAUGAAAAAUUUACACCCUUUUCUCCUAAUCACAUUCACGCCUAUCACCAUUUGUAUUUUUUUUGGAACAGUUAAUUUCACACCAACACGUCUGUAUAAUAAAUUUUUAAAAAAAUGCCUAUGUUUACACCUGCACGCAACAAUUUGUGUCAGUGAUUCCAAGCGGCCAAAAGAUUGUUGGAGUGAUCCCAGUAAAAAAAAAGAUAGCAGUCAGGAACAGGCUGCCGAAACUUCAGUAUAAAAGAAAAU